AAAUAUUCUGACGAUUUCCUAAUUUUACAUGAAACACAAUGUGGCUUUUAGGCAAGGCUAUAGCACUAUGGAUAAUUUAUUUAUAUUAAAUUCUUUGUUUAACUUCUGAAGAAAAGAAAGAAAGAAAAAACUUUAUUGUGCAUUUAUAGACUUUGAAAAGGCUUUUGACAAAAUUUGGAGGGAUGGACUUUGGCAUAAACUACUGUUAAAAAAUGUAAAUGGGAAAAUGUUAAAUGUGAUUCAAAGUAUGUACAAAAAUAUUAAAUCAAAUAUUAUUUUUAAUAACAGCAAGUCUGAUUAUUUUCCGUGUAAUAAUGGGGUAAGGCAAGGGGAAAAAUAUGUCCCCUUUUUUGUUUGCAGUUUUUUUAAAUGACUUGGAAAUUUUUUUACAAACAAAAAACUGUAAGGGCCUUUUCACAGUUACAGAAGAAUUAGAACAUGAACUUGAUGUAUUUCUCAAUAUCAUUUUAUUACUAUAUGCUGAUGAUACUGUUUUUGAUGUCUGAAACACCACAAGAUCUUCAAAUACAGUUAGAUUUUUUUUAAUGAAUACUGUAACUACUGGAAAUUAAAAGUAAAUGUAUCCAAAACCAAAAUAUUAUGUUUUUCAUAUGGAAGAUUACCGGACAAUUUACACUUUGUUUUAGAUGAUCAAGAAAUAGAAAUCGUUCAAGAGUUUAGUUAUUUGGGUAUCUUAUUGACAAAAACGGGAAAUUAUAAAAAGGCGAUUAAAUCACAAGUUGAAAAAGGGACAAAAGCGAUGUAUGAGAUACUAAAAAGGGGGAAAUUUCAUAGCCUAUCAGUUUUCUUGUCAGUUAGAUCUUUUUUGAUAGAGUAGUAAACCCUAUUCUUUUAUAUGGAUCAGAAAUAUGGGGAUUUAGCAACUGUGAUAUUGUCCUAAACCUGAAAUCUUCCACUCCAAACUGUAUGAUAUACAGUGAGCUAGGACGUUUUCCACUCUCUAUUGAUGUAAAAUUAAGGAUGAUAUCCUACUGGUCUAAAUUAAUUAUGGGAAAGCAGUCA
rnacentral:lncRNA from 1 species